rnacentral:rRNA from 1 species
UACGAAGGGGGCUAGCGUUGUUCGGAAUUACUGGGCGUAAAGCGUGCGCAGGCGGCUUCUCAAGUCAGGGGUGAAAGCCCAGAGCUCAACUCUGGAACUGCCUUUGAGACUGAGAGGCUUGAGUACGGGAGAGGUGAGUGGAAUUCCCAGUGUAGAGGUGAAAUUCGUAGAGAUCGGAAAGAACACCAACGGCGAAAGCACUCUGCUGGGCCGACACUGACACUGAGAGACGAAAGCUAGGGGAGCGAAUGGG